AGUUUUCGUACACAUUUCAUAUACCUGAAUAUUCCAGUGUUCCUAUUAUAUAGAAUUGUAAAAUCGAUGGAAUUUGAAGUUACUAAUGAUGACGGCGAACGUUAUGCUUUAUUUUUUUCUCAUUUUGUUUUUACUAAUACAAGGUAUUUACUAAUACCAGAGAUGGGAACAGCCGAGGUCUUUUAUUGACAGUUGAUAAAAUUGAGCGGUAAUCUUUUAG